GUAACAGAGAAAAAGUUUCCUACAAUGGUUACCGGUUGGACGAGUUUGUUCCAUAGAAAAAGUCAGCUUAUGUAAGCCAAGAAGAUCUGCAUAUUUCUAAGAUGGCUUAGGGAAACACUUGAAUUUGCUGCUCAAUGUCUUGGUGCUGAAAACCGAGGAAGUAGGCUUCCUUAAAUUUACUUAAAUGAAGUUUAAUCUUAGCCGCCUUAUCAAUUCUCUUGAGCAGUUGAUAGGCUCAGAGCUAUGAUGAUAGAAGUCAGUAAAAGAGAAGAGGCACGAAUUGUUCCGGAUCCAGAUGUAGAUACUUAUAUGAAGGAGAGGUGGUUGCUCCCACAAAAGCCUUAUUUCUGGAUGAAAUAUCAAAUGGUUUAGACAGUUCAACUGCAUAUCAGAUUGUUGUUUGGCCAUAGCAGCAGGUGCAUAUCACUGAUGCUACUGUAUUGAUUUUUACUUCUUCACCCAGUUCCAGAAACCUUUGAACUCUUUGAUGACUUCAUUUUGAUGCGGAAGGAAAGGUUGUGUAUCAAGGACAAUGCAAUAAAGUUGUAGAAUUUUUCAAGGACUGUGAAUUCAGGUGUCCUCAAAGACAAGGUGUAACUGACUUUCUUCAGAAGGUAAGUGAAUUACAACUUACAAUCAUUUGUUUUUCCAUGCUUAAAUGUUAGUACUUCAGGUUUUAUUUUUAAUUCAUUUAUUCGGCUGGUGAUAUCUCAAAAAGAUCAAGUGCAAUACUGCUACUGCACUGAUUCUAAUUGGCACUAAGAGAAGUUGUUCCUUCAAUGUGUAUUUCUUCAAUUUUCUGCUAUGGCAGCUGUUUGAAUUCAAUGCUACUGAAGUUUGUUCAAUGUUCACCCAGUUGAAUUCAAAUGCUGCCUCCUGAUCAUCUUGUGCGAUGAUUUUGCAAGAAAAGCCGGCCAAUAGUCAAGUCAAGAUUCCAAUGACGGAGGGAUGGUCCUAACUUUUAAACCCUAAUCAGUAGCAAUUCAGAAUAUGAACUAUUAUGUUGACUUCCCUACGGAGAAGAGGAAACUCCUAACUGCUCUCUGAUAUAUCUAUUGGAUUAAGGCCUACUGUGCUUAUGACAUCGAUGGGUGUUAGUGAAGCUGGAAAGUCCACUCUUCUAGGCCUUGGCCAAACGAUGUUGUGUCAAUGACAAAACUCAUGGUUCUUGCUUUAAUCACUUAUGAAUCAAUGAGUAAGAGUUUGUUAGUACUAAAAGCUCUAGGUUCAUUCCCUUGGAAAACUGAACUGAGGUCAUCCAAUUGUCAUGAAUUGACUAAUCUAUGUUCGUUUUUCAGUUGCUUAAAGGUUGCAGUAUUCCCAGGUAAAAUAUUAUUGACCAGAAGGGCAGUUCCUAAAGAGGACCCAAGCAUACAUUCCCCAAGUUUUGGACGUAGCUUUUCUUAGAAUGAUGCUUGGACAAGUAAUAACAUGCAUGAUUCCAUAGAGGUGGAAGAUCAAGAUACAACCAAGCCAAACAAUGGAAGUGCUUAGUCCACCAUGGGUGCUAGAGCUACGGAUUCUGCAAGGGUUAUGAAAUUUACCAAGGAGCUCUCUGCUUCCAUGGUCAUAUUGGGAAUCAUAUUGAGUAGGGAUAUGCACUACCUAAUUCAGAUGCAAGGGAGGGAGUCCUAAAAAGGAAGCGUAGUAUUUUGACUGAAACGAAUGAAAACUCUGAACAUAUCAUAGCACAAGUAAAAUUAAGUAAUACAUUAAUGAAAUGGUAAUGUGCUAGGCCUCCAAUACAAAAGGAAAAGCGUAGAAAUUAAACAUAGGAAGCUGAAAUCAGGGCAGAUAAUGGAGCUGAAAUCAAGGCUUGCCCUGAUCAGCAGCUUGAUUCAAGGAAAAAGAACAAGAGCAAGAUCGAUAGAACAAAGCCAAAACAGCCUAUAAAAAGGGAAGAUAAGAUGAAGAAGAGGCAAGCAAGAAUACAAUAAUUCUUUAAGGGGGAUUUGCAGCCAAAAGAGGGAGGGGGUUGGCAUCUCUACUUUCAGCAUAUUUCUUAGAGUUCUUGUUACAAUUUUCUGUAAGAGAAUAAACACUUUUAGUGUGAAGUUCAUAGAUAUAAUCCUUUGUGCUUGUGUAUUUACACUUUGUAGUUCUCUAAGUGAUUACAAAUUCUAUUCAAGCUCAUUUUUUUUA